rnacentral:rRNA from 1 species
AUUGAACGCUGGCGGCAGGCCUAACACAUGCAAGUCGAACGAGCGGCGGACGGGUGAGUAAUGCUUGGGAAACUUCCUUAUGGAGGGGGAUAACUACUGGAAACGGUAGCUAAUACCGCAUACCAUCGGAUGUGCCCAGCGGGGAUUAGGGAGUUGGUGGGGUAAAGGAUCACCAAGCCGACGAUCCCUAGCUGGUCUGAGAGGAUGACCAGCCACACUGGGACUGAGACACGGACGAGACUCCGACGGGAGGCAGCAGUGGGGAAUAUUGCGCAAUGGGAGAAAGCCUGAAGCAGCCAUGCCGCGUGGAUGAAGAAGGCCUUCGGGUUGUAAAGUACUUUCAGCGGGGAGGCGUUACCCGCAGAAGAAGCACCGGCUAACUCCGAGCCAGCAGCCGCGGUAAUUC